rnacentral:lncRNA from 1 species
CAGUGAUUCAUCUUUCUUCGCCUCCCCACCCAUCACCUUGAAGGCAGGUUCCCAAGUUCCCUUCCUCUCUUUCUAACCUCCUUUCACACCGAAAGUCGUAAGCAUCACCACCACCAAAUGAGGGUGCAGAGACAAGAGAACAUGGAGCUAGAGGAGCACCUCAUUCACUCACGCAUGCAUUGACCCACCAACAGAUAACUUCUCUUCCUCCCAUCAGAGCCUAGUGUGGGAGGAAACACUCUGGUCAGGAGUGAGAAGGGGCCACUGGAUGCUCAGGAAGCAUUAGUCAAAUGAGCACACGAGUUGAAUGAAAACAAGUACUGGGCCUUGACCUCAAGCAGCUUAUAGUCUAGUAGGGCAGGCAUACCCACUCACCACCCACACACCCCGAGCCAACAGGGGUCCAGAUGCACCUGUGGGACCUGAAUCUCAAGGAGGCCCAGGGGUAUGGUGGCCUGGCCCUUGUCCUGACCAGGUAAGGGACAAUCAUCUGCCUGUUUGUUUUGUCCUGCCACCGCCUCUCCAAAUGGGUUUGGUGAAUGCAACAAGAGGAAGCUGCAGGGGGAGCUGAAUUGGUGCUGGGAGGGAGUUGGGCAGAUCCAUGUAGUCGUCCCACCCUUUGCUGGGGCUUUCUGCCAGCACAGGGACCUUUGGGUCCUAAAACGAAUGCCCUCCCCCUCUGGUUGUUUCCUGUCCUCCACCCCCACCCCCCACCUCCACCUCAUAGCAGGAAUUGGAGACAGCUGCUCAAGGGCUGAAAUCUAAACCAGUCAUUGUGUCCCUCCUUUUGGCUUUGUUUGUCCACGUGUGUGUGUGUGCGUGUGUGUGUGUGUGUGUGUGCAUGUGUGUGUGUGCACGCGUGCGUGUGCUCCUGGGCUAGGGUAGUUGCUCACUGUGGAUCUUGGAGUUCCUGUCAUUGUGGCUUAGUGGUAAUGAACCCAACUAGGAUCCAUGAAGAUUUGGGUUCAAUCCCUGGCCUUGCUCAGGUGUUGAUGUGGGAAGUGGUGUAGUUCAUAGACAUGGCUCAGAUCCCAAGUUGCUGUUGCUGUAGUGUAGGCCAGCAGCUGUAUCUCCAAUUCGACUCCUAGCCUGGGAACUGCCAUAUGCCCCCAGUGAGGCCCUAAAAAGACAAAAAAAUAAAAAAAUAAUAUGGAGAAUUCCUGCUGUGCACAGUGGGUUAAGAAUCUGAUUGCAGUGGCUCAGGUCCCUACAGAGGUGCAAGUUCAAUGCUGGCCCAGUACAGUGGGUUAAAGGAUCUGGUAUUGCUGAAGCUGCAGGGUAGGUAGAAGCUAUGACUUGGAUUCAAUCCCAAGCACAGGAACUUCCACAUGCCGUGGGCAUGGCCAUUGGGAAAAAAAAAAAAAAUGAUGUAUGGGAUGUAUUUUUUUUAACUGGAAAUGCUUUUUUACUGUGGUAAAAUAUGUAUAACAUUUUCCAUCUUAGCCAAGUGUAUAAUUCAGUGGCAUUAACAUUGAUUGCCAACACUGACAUUGUUGGGCAACUGUCACUACUACUCAGCUCCAGAACCUUUUCGUCUUCCCAAACUGAAACUCUAUACCCAUUAAACACUAACUCCCCAUCCUCCAUCCCCCAGCACCUGACAACCACCAUUCUAUUUUCCAUCUCUAAGAAUUUGACUGUCCUAGGUACCUCACAUAAAUAGACUCAUACAGUGUUUAUCCUUUUGUGACUGGCUCAUCACACAAAGCAUAAUUUCCUCAAGAUGCAUCUGUGUUGUGGCAUGUGUCAGAAUCUCCUUUUUAUGGCUGAAAAAUAUUCCAUUAUAUGAUAUACCACAUUUUGUUUAUCCAUUUGUCCUUUACACUUGAGGAACUUCCACCUUUUGGCUGUUGUAAUAAUGCUGCCAAGCAUAUCAUUAUUGCAUAUAUGAGUGUAGAAAUAUUUAUUUGACGGAGUUCCCGCUGUGACUCAGUGGAAAUGAAUAUGACUGUUAUUCAUAAGCACGCAGGUUCGACCCUUGGCCUCGCUCAGUGGGUUAAGGAUCUGGUGUUGCCACGAGCUGUGGUGUAGGUCACAGAUGCGGCUCAGAUCCCGAGUUGCUGUGGUAUAAGCUGGCAGCUGCAGCUCCGAUCCUUCCCCUAGCCCGAGAACCUCCAUAUGUCACGGUGCGGCCCUAAAAAGACAAAAAAAGACACACACACAAAAAGAGAGAUAUUUAUUUGAGUUCUGGCCUUCAUUAAGUAUCUUUAAAGAGUUCAGGCAGGAAUUCCCAUCGUGGCUCAGAGGUAACAAACCUAACUAGUAUCCAUGAGGACACGGGUUCAAUCCCUGGCCUUGUCCUAGGGGUUAAGGAUUCAGUAUUGCCAUGAGCUGUGGUAUAGUUCACAGAUGCGGCUCGGAUCUGGUGUUGCUGUGACUGUGGUGUAGGCUGGCAGCCGCAGCUGCAAUACAACUCCUGGCCUGGGAACUUCCAUA